rnacentral:misc_RNA from 1 species
CUCGUGCCGUCCACCGAACGGCCGGCAGGCGAUCCGCGUCGGUCGUGCGAAUGCAUGGUUAUUACCCGGAGGCCGGUUCUUGUGUUGCCUACCCCUUGAGGGGAAGCACGGGCCACUUGAUGUAAGCCUCCAUCCUGCGCCCUCCCAAAGGGGCGCCGGAGGACAGCGGAGCACCCCCCGCGUUCCACCGAGCCCUCGUCGGUCGCGUGGCCCGCGGGGACGUGCGAUGCUCUCGGACCCAGCGCACGCCGUGGGCGAGGACUCACGUCCCAGUCCCAAGAGAAGCUUCGAAGCAAUGUUGACGGCCGCUCCCGUCCCCGACCGCCCCGGCGGCGCGGGGGCGAGGCGCGGCGUCGCGGAGGAAUGCUACCU